UAUGUUUAACGUGUGUACUGUGUGUAGCAAGUGUUUUUGGUUACUGGUAAACCGUUUAGCUGUCUUAUAUAAAUUUAGUUAGCACUCUUUGGUGGAGUUAGGCUUUUGUUUUACUUAUUUUGUUUGUGUUGUUGAAUAAAUACACCAUAAAACCUACUCUGCCACAGUUCUUUAGCUAGAACAAUCUAUAAUUGCUUUACACCUAAGAAAUAAAACUUGCAAUGGGUACAUCAGCUCUGACAGCAUGGUUUUCUUUGAACAAGAAGGUUCUGAAACCUAUCCCGUCUGUGUUUUACUCAAUAAAUUAAAGACUACACUACUAUCUAGACACACACUGUAAUAUAUAUAGAUCAACUAGGGGUUUUAAUUGUUGAAUGAUUGAUCGAUUAAUCACACCUGUGUGCUUUGAUCGAUUAAAAAAUAAUGAAUCGAUUUCUACCUGAGUGCAGUUGCAAAAAAUGGUGCGCGAAAAACAAAUCUUGAAAAAUGGUGGAGCGUACUUACCUAGAUUGGUUUCACAAGCAUCUGCCUAGAAGGGGUUUUCUUUGACCGAUCGGCCGGCUGCAGUAGCAUUAUGCUGAUUCUUUGUAUUACUUGUAAUUGUAUUUCUCUACAAUUCCAUAUCACUAGCAAACAUGUGAUUAAUCGAUUUAAAAGACUGGAUAAUGUUUAGCCUUUUAGAGAAUUCUGUAUAAAUGAAAAACUGGUUAUAAAGGUCGCCGCCUUUUUGCUGUAACUGAAUCCUCGUUAAAGUAUUUAUAGUAAAAUAAAUACAAACUGCCAACAGUAUUACAGUGUAAUCAUUAACAGUAGAAAGUGGAAUGUUUGAAGGUAACUGUGCUUACCGAGUUACAUAGUCAAACAUUAAUAAACCAGCUCUGGCAUUUGUGAACCAGCUUGGCAGGCAAUACACGUAAUCAGCGUCCACACUGGGGAUGGGAGACACAGCUGACUUUUGCAGUAAGUAAUGAUAUAUCACCAACCAACUUACAUUAUUUUAAAUAUGAUACUUUUGCAAUGGUGGCUCAAUGGAUUGGCAGUUUGAUAUGAAGCCUUUCUCACGUAGGUCACUGGUUAGAAUACACCCAAGCAAUAUAAUGGCUGAAUGUCAGUUCAAUCUGACGACUCUAUUGAAAAAGAGUCGUAGUUGUCUUAGCACAGUUUAUAAUGUCAACUUCACAAGCAGUGCACUAAUCAGCCAGCAAGGCUGUUUUUCAGAGAGGUCCAGGUUUCAAUGGGCAUGGAGACCCUCUCUACCCCAAAGAGGGUUGUUCGUUCAAUGCAGACUUCUGACACCAAUUCCAGCUGCACUGUCUGUAUUUGUCAUUCACAGGUGCUCAAUUGUAAACCCUGACAUUACAGUCGGGCCCGUGAUUAUAGAAUGUGAUGAUUGACUUGAGAAACAUCAGAACAUGAUGACAGCCCCUGACACUUUGCCGUCAGUGUCCUAAUGAAAAUGGAUGGGGUUGUCUUUGUGGUACUGUAUUUGUACCGUUAGUUAUUGUUCCUCCAAAUACAAUAAGAAUUUGUGAUGAUCAAAUGCCCUAUAAUCUGUCACAUAUGGAUGACAAUAGUGACUGUGAAACACUAGACCAGCUGCCCUCAUUUAUUUUCUGCUUGGAAUUCUUGUUGAAUUGAGUGAGCUGUUUAUGGCCUCUUGUGGCCAAAGUGGAGAAAUGCAACUGAAAGAAGCAACAAAUGAAUGUACUUAAAGGAAAGAGAUGGUUCAAAAUGAAGCCCAAAAUUUACAUGAAAAUUCAGACAAAAGGAUAUUUCUGAGCUAAGCUUUUGAAGGAACUGUGGUUGUGAUGAAGCCCUGCAUGGCCAUUUGUUAAGGGAUUAUCUGCCACACGCUGUGGAUACGGCUAGCAUGAUCCGGAGCUGUCACUAAAGGCCAGCACCAAACCAGGACAACAUUUCACUUGUGUCACGAUUAACUGUAUUUGCAGCAUGAGCACUAUAGCACUCACUGUGGACUUGUGAUCGUGUUUGUGUUACGUGUGGGAGUUUAAAGAUCGGGACUAUUAUUUCGACGCCAACCCGUGGAUUACAACAGAGCAAUACGCAUCCCAUUGUGUAUUGUCUGUUAUCAUUAUUGUUUACUGUUUGUCGUCAGACUUUGGGUUACAAAAAUAAACCUCCAUUUCACCAGUACUUUGUCUUGAGCACUGCAUCACCCCUACACCUGCACACUGCAAACACUUUGCCACAUAAAUAUAGUAAGUUCAAUAUAUA